GACGAACGCUGGCGGCGUGCCUAAUACAUGCCAGUUGAGCGAUGAAGAUUGGUGCUUGCACCAAUUUGAAGAGCAGCGAACGGGUGAGUAACGCGUGGGGAAUCUGCCUUUGAGCGGGGGACAACAUUUGGAAACGAAUGCUAAUACCGCAUAACAACUUUAAACAUAAGUUUUAAGUUUGAAAGAUGCAAUUGCAUCACUCAAAGAUGAUCCCGCGUUGUAUUAGCUAGUUGGUGAGGUAAAGGCUCACCAAGGCGAUGAUACAUAGCCGACCUGAGAGGGUGAUCGGCCACGUUGGGACUGAGACACGGCCCAAACUCCUACGGGAGGCAGCAGUAGGGAAUCUUCGGCAAUGGACGAAAGUCUGACCGAGCAACGCCGCGUGAGUGAAGAAGGUUUUCGGAUCGUAAAACUCUGUUGGUAGAGAAGAACGUUGGUGAGAGUGGAAAGCUCAUCAAGUGACGGUAACUACCCAGAAAGGGACGGCUAACUACGUG
rnacentral:rRNA from 1 species